rnacentral:rRNA from 1 species
GACGAACGCUGGCGGCGUGCCUAAUACAUGCAAGUAGAACGCUGAAGAGAGGAGCUUGCUCUUCUUGGAUGAGUUGCGAACGGGUGAGUAACGCGUAGGUAACCUGCCUUGUAGCGGGGGAUAACUAUUGGGAACGAUAGCUAAUACCGCAUAACAAUGAAUGACACAUGUCAUUUAUUUGAAAGGGGCAAUUGCUCCACUACAAGAUGGACCUGCGUUGUAUUAGCUAGUAGGUGAGGUAACGGCUCACCUAGGCGACGAUACAUAGCCGACCUGAUAGGGUGAUCGGCCACACUGGGACUGGGACACGGCACAGACUCCUACGGGAUGCAGCAGUAGGGAAUCUUCGGCAAUGGGGGCAACCCUGGCCGAGCAACGCCGCGUGAGGGAAGAAGGUUUUCGGAUCGUAAAGCUCUGUUGUAAGUCAAGAACGAGUGUGAGAGUGGAAAGUUCACACUGUGACGGUAGCUUACCAGAAAGUGACGGCUAACUACGUGCCAGCAGCCGCGGUAA